CAGGGAUUGCCUCAGUAACGGCGAGUGAAGCGGCAAGAGCUCAAAUUUGAAAGCUGGCCCCCUCGGGGUCCGCGUUGUAAUUUGCAGAGGAUGCUUCGGGUGCAGCCCCCGUCUAAGUGCCCUGGAACGGGCCGUCAUAGAGGGUGAGAAUCCCGUCUGGGACGGGGUGUCUGCGUCCGUGUGAAGCUCCUUCGACGAGUCGAGUUGUUUGGGAAUGCAGCUCUAAAUGGGUGGUAAAUUUCAUCUAAAGCUAAAUACUGGCCGGAGACCGAUAGCGCACAAGUAGAGUGAUCGAAAGAUGAAAAGCACUUUGAAAAGAGAGUUAAACAGCACGUGAAAUUGUUGAAAGGGAAGCGUUUGCGACCAGACUCGCCCGCGGGGUUCAGCCGGCACUCGUGCCGGUGUACUUCCCCGUGGGCGGGCCAGCGUCGGUUUGGGCGGCCGGUCAAAGGCCCUCGGAAUGUAUCACCUCUCGGGGUGUCUUAUAGCCGAGGGUGCAAUGCGGCCUGCCCGGACCGA
rnacentral:rRNA from 1 species